rnacentral:rRNA from 1 species
CGGAGGGUGCAAGCGUUAAUCGGAAUUACUGGGCGUAAAGCGCACGCAGGCGGUCUGUUAAGUCAGAUGUGAAAUCCCCGGGCUUAACCUGGGAACUGCAUUUGAAACUGGCAGGCUUGAGUCUUGUAGAGGGGGUAGAAUUCCAGGUGUAGCGGUGAAAUGCGUAGAGAUCUGGAGGAAUACCGGUGGCGAAGGCGGCCCCCUGGACAAAGACUGACGCUCAGGUGCGAAAGCGUGGGGAGCAAACAGGAUU